GAUGAACGCUAGCGACAGGCUUAACACAUGCAAGUCGAGGGGCAGCACAGGUAACAAUACCGGGUGGCGACCGGCGCACGGGUGAGUAACGCGUAUGCAACUUACCUAUCAGAGGGGGAUAACCCGGCGAAAGUCGGACUAAUACCGCAUGAAGCAGGGGUCCCGCAUGGGGAUAUUUGCUAAAGAUUCAUCGCUGAUAGAUAGGCAUGCGUUCCAUUAGGCAGUUGGCGGGGUAACGGCCCACCAAACCGACGAUGGAUAGGGGUUCUGAGAGGAAGGUCCCCCACAUUGGUACUGAGACACGGACCAAACUCCUACGGGAGGCAGCAGUGAGGAAUAUUGGUCAAUGGCCGAGAGGCUGAACCAGCCAAGUCGCGUGAGGGAUGAAGGUUCUAUGGAUCGUAAACCUCUUUUAUAAGGGAAUAAAGUGCGGGACGUGUCCCGUUUUGUAUGUACCUUAUGAAUAAGGAUCGGCUAACUCCGUG
rnacentral:rRNA from 1 species